UUGAGUGGCGGACCGGCGCGACGGUGGGUAACGCGUAUCCAACCUGCCCUUUACUAUGGGACAGCCCGUCGAAAGGCGGAUUAAUACCGUAUGUUGUCAUGUUGAUGCAUAUUUUCAUGACCAAAGGCUUCGGCCGGUAAAGGAUGGGGAUGCGUCUGAUUAGCUUGCCGGCGGGGUAACGGCCCACCGGGGCGACGAUCAGUAGGGGUUCUGAGAGGAAGGUCCCCCACAUUGGAACUGAGACACGGUCCAAACUCCUACGGAAGGCAGCAG
rnacentral:rRNA from 1 species